GCGACUCUAGCUCAGUUGGUAGAGCGCAACCUUGCCAAGGUUGAGGUCACGAGUUCGAACCUCGUGUGUCGCUCCA
rnacentral:tRNA from 1 species